AUUGAACGCUGGCGGCAGGCCUAACACAUGCAAGUCGAGCGGUAGAGAGAAGCUUGCUUCUCUUGAGAGCGGCGGACGGGUGAGUAAUGCCUAGGAAUCUGCCUGGUAGUGGGGGAUAACGUUCGGAAACGGACGCUAAUACCGCAUACGUCCUACGGGAGAAAGCAGGGGACCUUCGGGCCUUGCGCUAUCAGAUGAGCCUAGGUCGGAUUAGCUAGUUGGUGGGGUAAUGGCUYACCAAGGCGACGAUCCGUAACUGGUCUGAGAGGAUGAUCAGUCACACUGGAACUGAGACACGGUCCAGACUCCUACGGGAGGCAGCAGUGGGGAAUAUUGGACAAUGGGCGAAAGCCUGAUCCAGCCAUGCCGCGUGUGUGAAGAAGGUCUUCGGAUUGUAAAGCACUUUAAGUUGGGAGGAAGGGCCAUUACCUAAUACGUGAUGGUUUGACGUACCGACAG
rnacentral:rRNA from 1 species